AGUGGUGGUGCACCCCUGUAAUCCCAGCUACUCCAGAGGCUGAGACACGAGAAUCGCUUGAACCUGGGAGGCGGAGGUUGCAGUGAGCUGAGAUCGCACCACUGCACUCCAGCCUGGACAACAGAGCAAGACUCUGUCUCAGAAAAAAAAAAAAAAGAUGCUAUGGUUCACACGUCCGACUCAUGACCUGGGGGAGCUCAGUUCUCGUCUGGACGUCAUUCAGUUUUUUCUGCUGCCCCAGAAUCUGGACAUGGCUCAGAUGCUGCAUCGGCUCCUGGGUCACAUCAAGAACGUGCCUCUGAUUCUGAAACGCAUGAAGUUGUCCCACACCAAGGUCAGCGACUGGCAGGUUCUCUACAAGACUGUGUACAGUGCCCUGGGCCUGAGGGAUGCCUGCCGCUCCCUGCCGCAGUCCAUCCAGCUCUUUCGGGACAUUGCCCAAGAGUUCUCUGAUGACCUGCACCAUAUCGCCAGCCUCAUUGGGAAAGUAAAAAGCGAAGACUGAUGGGACUUCCCAGUUUCCUUACUGAGGUUGCCCGCAAGGAGCUGGAGAAUCUGGACUCCCGUAUUCCUUCAUGCAGUGUCAUCUACAUCCCUCUGAUUGGCUUCCUUCUUUCUAUUCCCCGCCUGCCUUCCAU
rnacentral:misc_RNA from 1 species